AUUAGAUUAUAAUUGUAUUGUAUGUUUUUAUUUUUUAUUAUAAAAUAAUUUUUUCGAUUAAACCUUAGUUAAACCGAUUAGAUCAAUAAAUUAAUGAAUUAUUAACUGAAAUGGUUCAAUGACCGAUCCGAUUUUCAAAAUCUGGAUAUAUAGGCUCCAUGUGUAAUGUAGUGUGUUAACAAAAGAGAACGUAUGUAAUUCAUUUCAUCCUAACUUUUUUUGAGAGAAAAAUGGUGUCACAAAAAAGGAAUGUCUCCUUUUGUGAUUAAUUAUCGUAGACUAUUUUAAUACUUGAAAUAAAUUAAUAUAGUCAUCGAUGAAACAAAAAUCAAGAAUAUACCCAAUUGAAGAUACAUCACUAUGAAACGUUUUAUUUAUAAAUUAAUUAUUAAAAAUUUAUUAUUUAUUUUUUAAAAAAUGUUUAGCGCCAUAGUUAAUUUGUUAUAUGGAGCAAGAUGUUCUACAGGCAUGGCAAAAAUUCUCAACGAGACAGAUACCUGCGGAGAUUUAUCCAUCGGAAACAGGUAUGGAGACGGUUUUUUACUUAUGGGAAUGGAGAACGGGGUCGUAUAAUAAACGGGGUAGAGACCUCCUCGUGAAAACCUGUUUAACCCCAUUUAUAUAAAGAAACCAAAAUACGCAGUAUAUAUAUAAGACUCACUGAUGAAGAACCUUAGCCAUCAAAAAUUCAAACCUUCAAUGCUUCAGAGAGUUUCCUCUCCUCUCCUCGUCAAACCCUCAGCCUCUCCUCUCUCGAACACCGCCGACAACCACCUACCACUCCUUCAGUGGCUCAGUCGCUCACCGCACCGUCAUUCUGUCAUGCUCACCGUCAGUCUGUAACGCUCCCACCCCCUCCCGAGCUCACUGUCAGUCCGCCUCGUCUUCUUCUCCUCGUCGCGUUGUCGCAGGUCGUCGUCUUCUCCUCGAAAGGCAAAUGAGGACUUGUACAAAAUAUCACAGGAGUACAAUAUGAGUCGUCUGUCAGAUCUUGAAGUUGAAGCAGCUAACGAGACUGUUAAAAAGCAAGUAAAGGAUUUAACAGCAGAAGUAGCAAAGUGCAAAGAAUGUAAACAAUUGGAUUCCUUGAUAGAUAAAACAAAGGCCCUUGAGGAGACUUGUUCUUUUCAAAAGGAGAUAAUAUCCAAACAGGAGCAACAGUUAGCAACUCACAAGAAGUCUGUGGUAGGGCAAUUUGAUUUGUACAGAUUUUUGUUCUUGUUUUAUAAUUUACUUAUAACUUAAGAUUUGUGCCCUUUUUCUUCUUUCAUGUGUGGGAGGAAGGACAUAGAUGAAUGAGCAAUGAUCGAGAAGUCAUUUUGUCUUUGCUAUGCGUAUUUGUGAGAUACAUGAGGUACUUGAUUCCUAAUACACAUUGAUAAACUUUUAUUUUUUAUUUUGAGACACUUGUAAAAUUCUUUGUACUAUUCUUUUGGACUAAAAGUUAGGACUAAAAGAACGGUACAAAUAUUUUUACAAGUGUGUCUCAGAAUAAAAAUUAAAAGUUUAUUAGGAACCAAGUACUUCAUGUAUCCCACAAAUGUGUAUAGUAAAGACAAGAUGACUUCUUGAUGAUUGCUCAUUCAUCCGUGUCCUUUCUCCCACACACAAAAUGGCUUCUAGAUGAUUGCUCAUUCAUAUGUGUCCUUUCUCCUUUCUCCCACACACCUGAAAGAAGAAAAAGGGCACAAAUCUUAAGUUAAAAAUAAAUUAUAAAACAAGAAUAAAAAUGUAUUAUGUAUAUGAUUAGCUGGAACAUGGAAAAGAACUCAUAUGCAAUUCAUGUGAAAGAGCACACAGGUUCUUGUAGAUACUUUACUCAAGAAGUUUCUUGCACACAGGUUAAGUGAUACCUAUUGCAAAAAGCUGCUUGACUCUGCUUAGCUUGUUAUUAAAAAGAUUGAAAAGGCAGAGUUUGUAAUUUGUGAACAUGCUUAGUUUGUAAUUUGUGAACAUGAUCCAAACUAUAUUUUUCCACGGGAGAGGCCUCUAACCAAUACAGGGGAAAGCGAGGAGAAAAAUUUUGUUCCAAGAAAAAGGGGUGGUGACUCUCUACAGCUUAAACUUUAAAAAAGAAGUUUUCGAAAUCAUGGAAGGAUUCAUCAAAAAGAGUAAAAACUCUCUGGCUUUGUAUG